UGGGGAAUAUUGCACAAUGGGCGCAAGCCUGAUGCAGCCAUGCCGCGUGUAUGAAGAAGGCCUUCGGGUUGUAAAGUACUUUCAGCGAGGAGGAAGGCAUUGUGGUUAAUAACCUGCAUGUGAUUGACUGUUACUCGCAGAAGAAGCACCGGCUAACUCCGUGCCAGCAGCCGCGGUAAUACGGAGGGUGCAAGCGUUAAUCGGAAUUACUGGGCGUAAAGCGCACGCAGGCGGUCUGUCAAGUCGGAUGUGAAAUCCCCGGGCUCAACCUGGGAACUGCAUUCGAAACUGGCAGGCUAGAGUCUUGUAGAGGGGGUAGGAAUUCCAGG
rnacentral:rRNA from 1 species